GACGAACGCUGGCGGCGUGCUUAACACAUGCAAGUCGAACGGAAAGGCCCUGCUUUUGUGGGGUGCUCGAGUGGCGAACGGGUGAGUAACACGUGAGUAACCUGACCUUGACUUUGGGAUAACUUCAGGAAACUGGGGCUAAUACCGGAUAGGAGCUCCUGCUGCAUGGUGGGGGUUGGAAAGUUUCGGCGGUUGGGGAUGGACUCGCGGCUUAUCAGCUUGUUGGUGGGGUAGUGGCUUACCAAGGCUUUGACGGGUAGCCGGCCUGGGAGGGUGGCCGGCCACAUUGGGCCUGGGAUACGGCCCAGACUCGUACGGGAGGCAGCAGUGGGGAAUAUUGCACAAUGGGCGGAAGCCUGAUGCAGCAACGCCGCGUGCGGGAUGACGGCCUUCGGGUUGUAAACCGCUUUCGCCUGUGACGAAGCGUGAGUGACGGUAAUGGGUAAAGAAGCACCGGCUAACUACGUG
rnacentral:rRNA from 1 species